rnacentral:rRNA from 1 species
AGCAGCAGCCGCGGGAAUACAGAGGAUGCAAGCGUUAUCUGGAAUGAUUGGGCGUAAAGCGACUGCAGGUGGCUUUUCAAGUCUGUAGUCAAAUCCCAAGGCUCAACCCUGGACAAGCGGUGGAAACUACCAAGAUGGAGUACGGUAGGGGCAGAGGGAAUUUCCGGUGGAGCGGUGAAAUGCGUUGAGAUCGAAAAGAACACCAACGACGAAAGCACUCUGCUGGGUCGACACUGACACUGAGAGACGAAAGCUAGGGGAGCAAAUGGGAUUAGAUACCCCAGUAGUCCCUGUCUCUUAUAC